rnacentral:rRNA from 1 species
CGGGGAAUAUUGGACAAUGGGCGAAAGCCUGAUCCAGCCAUGUCGCGUGUGUGAAGAAGGUCUUCGGAUUGUAAAGCACUUUAAGUUGGGAGGAAGGGCAGUAAGCGAAUACCUUGCUGUUUUGACGUUACCGACAGAAUAAGCACCGGCUAACUCUGUGCCAGCAGCCGCGGUAAUACAGAGGGUGCGAGCGUUAAUCGGAUUUACUGGGCGUAAAGCGUGCGUAGGCGGCUAAUUGAGUCGGAUGUGAAAUCCCCGAGCUUAACUUGGGAAUUGCAUUCGAUACUGGUUAGCUAGAGUGUGGGAGAGGAUGGUAGAAUUCCAGGUGUAGCGGUGAAAUGCGUAGAGAUCUGGAGGAAUACCGAUGGCGAAGGCAGCCAUCUGGCCUAACACUGACGCUGAGGUACGAAAGCAUGGGGAGCAAACAGG